ensembl:lncRNA
CGCCACACAACUGCCUCAGCAAUACUGUAAUGCAUACACAGCGUUAAAUCGGAAAUGAAUGUACUUCUGGUGUUUCAAAACGGGGGAGGGGAAACCUGUUGGUGUGAUCGAGGCGUCGUCCUGGCCCGCAAGCGUUCCCGGAAGUAUCGCGAUGUUGCGUCUCUAGGUUUAGAAACCGUGCCAGUACACUGCUUACUAUCUAUGGUGGAAAACGCCGUAUUUUCGAAAUGGCAUACCUCGAGUUCAAGUUUGAGGACGAAAUUACAAAAUACAUUCGGGAACAAGAAUUGGAAACGUCACUGAAAUUCAUAACAUUGAGAAAGGACAAAAGUUUUGGGCAAAAGGAUGCACAGCCUUUGGCACGGAAAAAACUCAGCUGGGAGAGUAAAAGUAUCCCGUUCAAUGGUGUUCCGUUUCAAGUUGUUGGCACAAAGACGUAUGAAUGCCACCAGGGCAAAGACAGACAGACAAAAGCCAAAGAGAAAUAUGCUGCUGAAAGAGACAAGAAGGAACUUGAAGACCAUACCUUUCUACAGAAACGGAAACUGGUACAAAAUACCAAAAAAGUGGACUGCAAGGCUAUAAUAAACAUCGCCCACAUUAUUCGCUUUCCUGAUUUUAAGAUUGAGGAAAGUACAGUGUGCUCUAAAAAGGAGGCCUCCCAAACUCUGAAGGCAGCACUAAGUGAAACACCCAGCUCCGUGAAGGCAGAGGUUGUCUACUGCGUCAGGUUCCCCUCCCUCUCUGAGCACAGCUCACAUGCAGUUGUUGGCGAGGCAGCUCAUGUUAGGGAAGCUGUAGAUGCCAGGCUGAGAGAGAAGAUUGAGCAGCUGACUCUGUCUGGUGUGAGAAAGAUGACUGAAAUGAAGUGUCAUCUGAACACCUUUGUAGUGGAAGAGCUUUUCCAUGGAGAGCAGCCCCUCCACCUACUCGCAGGCGCUAUUACCCCACUGACAGUGACAUAAGAAAUGUCAUGUUUAAGACCAAGCGGGCCACCGGAGACUCCAACAUUGACCGUCCAUACGAAGGUCCAUCUGGAAGAGGAAAGAAGAGGUCCUCUAGGAAGCUGUUGCGGUUACGGAGGCAAUGUGCAGGAUAUCUUAAAGAGAUCACAGAACUCACUUAUCAUCUCCAAGAGGAACAGUACGUGACUGACCUGUCUUCACAGCUCAGAAGUGUGCUGCUGGAUAUGAAGGCCCAUGUUCCACAGGAUAAAGACCUUCCACUGACCUUUUCUCCAAGGAAGAGAAAAGCUGAGAUGGACAUGGACCUCAUUCCAACCAAGAGUGCAUCACACCCUUUCAUAGAUGGGUUAGAACAGCAUACAGAGGACAUAGUGAGUGUGGAUACCUUGUUGGCAUUGAGCCUAGGGCUGAGGACCGAGUGUGUGGGUCCUUCCACAAAUUGAGUAUAUUUUGGGUAGUGUAACUUUUAUUUCAACUAAUAUUAGCAUUCUGUCAACACAACUUGAUAAGGGGGGGGGGUCAAGAGGGGAGAGCAUUCUUAGUUUUGAAUGUUGUUCUGGAGGCAGCGCUGCGGAGUGCUCACUAGCUGGCACAGUCAUAAAAUCUGAUUUUAAACCUAAUUGUUAACCACACUGCUAACCCUCAUUUCUAACCUUAAAUUAGCUUUUUGAUCUUAACUUGUGUUUGUAUGAUUUCUGACAACAUACAGUGUGUUCGUUAAGUUCAGACACCUUUCCCUUUUUCCACAUUUUGUUACAUUACAACCUAAUUCUAAAAUGGAUUCAUUUGUUAUUUUCCUCAUUAAUCUACACACAAUACCCCAUGACGACAUCACAAUACCCCAUGACGACAUCACAAUACCCCAUGACGACAUCACAAUACCCCAUGACGACAUCACAAUACCCCAUGACGACAUCAAAAUACCCCAUGAUGACAUCACAAUACCCCAUGAUGACUAAGCAAAAGCAGGUCUAGAAAUGUUAGCAAUUAUUUUAAUUUUGUUAAUAAAAAUAAAAUAUUACAUUUACAUAAGUAUUCAGACCCUUUACUCAGUACUUUGUUGAAGCACCUUUGGCAGCGAUUACAGCAGACUUCUUGGGUAUGACGUUACAAGCUUGGCACACCUGUAUUUUGGCAGUUUCUCCCAUUCUGCUCAGCAGAUCCUGUUAAGCUCUGUCAGGUUUGAUGGGGAGCGUCGCUGCACAGCUAUUUUCAGGUCUCUCCAGAGAUGUUCGAUCGGAUUCAAGUCCGGGCUCUGGCUGGACCACUUAAGGACAUUCAGAGACUUGUCCUGAAGCCACUCCUAUGUUGUCUUGGCUGUGUGCUUCGGGUCGUUCUCCUGUUGGAAGGUGAACCUUCGCUCCAGUCUGAGGUCCUGAGCGCUCUAGAGCAGGUUUUCAUCAAGGAUCAAAUCAAAUGUAUUUAUAUAGCCCUUCGUACAUCAGCUGAUAUCUCAAAGUGCUGUACAGAAACCCAGCCUAAAACCCCAAACAGCAAGCAAUGCAGGUGUUGAAGCACGUUGGCUAGGAAAAACUCCCUAGAAAGGAUCUCUCUGUACUUCGCUCAGUUCAUCUUUCCCUUGAUCCUGACUAGUCUCCUAGUCCCUGCCGCUGAAAAACAUCCCCACAGCAUGAUGGUGCAAACCACCAUGCUUCACUGUAGGAAUGGUGCCGCCACCAUGCUUCACUGUAGGG